rnacentral:rRNA from 1 species
ACGGCCCUUACGUCCGGGGCUACACACGUGUUACAAUGGGGGGUACAGAGGGCCGCUACCACGCGAGUGGAUGCCAAUCCCCAAAACCUCUCUCAGUUCGGACUGGAGUCUGCAACCCGACUCCACGAAGCUGGAUUCGCUAGUAAUCGCGCAUCAGCCACGGCGCGGUGAAUACGUUCCCGGGCCUUGUACACACCGCCCGUCAAGCCAUGGGAGCCGGGGGUACCUGAAGUGCGUAACCGCGAGGAGCGCCCUAGGGUAAAACUGGUGACUGGGGCUAAGUCGUAACAAGGUA